CGGUUAUAGCCUCAUUCAGCCAUUGUCAGUAACAGUAACAAAUUUCCUUUUCUCUUUCUUUCUCCAUAUUCUUAGAACGAGGAAUAAUAUCAGGAAGAUGUUUACUUGCCCGGCGGCCCCAAGGAAGCGCCGGCCGAGUUUGAAUUGCGAAGACCAUGACAAGUGUUGUACGACUCCGCCGGCGAGAGAAUUCAAGAUGCCGGAGAUGUUUACUUGUCCGGCGGCCCCAAGGAAGCGCCGGCCGAGUUUGAAUUGUCAUUUUUAUGGCGUUGGGUUCUCUAAUUCAUCGGAUUUGGAAUCUGUCUGUCUUUAUUCUCCAUUCUGAGAGAACCAAAUGAAUAUUAGAGCAAGGAUUUUCUUUUCUUUUUAGAAAUUUGGAGAGUUUUGUUAGUUCCAAAUGAUGUAUGAAAUUUGCACAUACUUUGUAUUACUGAAUCUACUAGUGCAG
rnacentral:lncRNA from 1 species